GACGAACGCUGGCGGCGUGCUUAACACAUGCAAGUCGAACGGAAAGGCCCCUUUGGGGGUACUCGAGUGGCGACCGGGUGCGUAACACGUGAGUAACCUGCCCUUGACUUCGGGAUAACUUCAGGAAACUGGGGCUAAUACCGGAUCGGAAUCCUUGCUGCAUGGUGGGGGUUGGAAAGCUUCGGCGGUUUUGGCUGGACUCGCGGCUUAUCAGCUUGUUGGUGGGGUAGUGGCUUACCAAGGCUUUGACGGGUAGCCGGCCUGCGAGGGCGACCGGCCACAUUGGGACUGAGAGACGGCCCAGACUCCUACGGGAGGCAGCAGGGGGGAAUAUUGCACAAUGGGCGGAAGCCUGAUGCAGCAACGCCGCGUGCGGGAUGACGGCCUUCGGGUUGUAAACCGCUUUCAGCAGGGGCGAAGCUUGUGGUGACGGUACCUGCAGAAGAAGCACCGGCUAACUACGUG
rnacentral:rRNA from 1 species